rnacentral:rRNA from 1 species
AGCAGCCGCGGUAAUUCCAGCUCCAAUAGCGUAUAUUAAAGUUGUUGCAGUUAAAAAGCUCGUAGUUGAAUUUCGGGAUUUGUCAGUUGGUCGGGCUUCACUGUCCGUAUUGACUUGAUGGAUUCUUACCUUCUGAAUAACCAGCAUGCUAUUAAGUUAGUGCGUUGGGGAAGCAGAUCUAUUACCUUGAAAAAAUUGAGUGCUUAAAGCGAGCUAGUGCUUGAAUAGAUUAGCAUGGAAUAAUAAAAUAGGACGGCAUGGUUCUAUUUUGUUGGUUUCUAGGAUCACCGUAAUGAUUAAUAGGGAUAGUUGGGGGCAUUAGUAUUCAAUUGUCAGAGGUGAAAUUCUUGGAUUUAUUGAAGACUAACUUCUAGCGUAAAGCAAUUUUGCCAAGGAUGUUUUCAUUAAUCAAGAACGAAAGUUAGGGGAUCGAAGACGAUCAGAUACCGUCGUAGUCUUAACCAUAAACUAUGCCGACUAGGGAUCGGAUGAUUGUUUAAUUUUUUAUGACUCUA